rnacentral:pre_miRNA from 1 species
CGUGUACUCCCUCCAUUCCAAAAUACUUGACUUCUAUUUGUCAAAAAAUGGAUGUACCUAUAUACUAAAACAUGUCUAGAUACAUAUAUAUUUUGACAAAUAGAAGGCAUGUAUUGUGCAACGGAGGGAGUAGAAU